rnacentral:lncRNA from 1 species
ACAGGUCUGAAAAUCAAAGAAAUAAGGAUACAGAACGUGAGAGUGAUCACUACAAGUAAAACAGUCGCAGAGAGAAUGGGAAUAGGAAUUUCAUUACCUUAAUUUGGGAAAAUAUGUGCGAAAAGCACUGGUACUGAGUGCUCAAUGAAAUAGCGGGAGGAAGAAAAGGAGAAGUCCUUUAGCUCUGUAUGGAAUCCAGCUUCAAAAGCAACAAUAAAAUAGUUUAGAUGGAUUCUAACUGACUCUUGUUAGUUAAAGCAGUAGUUCCCAUUAAAAAUGCAUUUUGAUGACAUAAUUAAGAUCAUAUAGAGACAGUGACAAACCAAAAAGAAAGAAACGAGUGAAAGGUCCAGGAUAAUCUAAGCUAUGAUCGGUCAAGGUUUUUUUUAGUUUUAUUCUUUUUUUAAAUAAAAAAAAAACAGGAAAAGACUUGCAAAGAAAUAGAAUUACUGGAAUGAACACAAUAAAGGAUGAAACUCAAGCAAUUAAAAAUAAAUUAUCUAUGAUGAUCAUCUCUGUGUCACACUCAAUGAGGUAAUCAAAUAAUAAAAAAUAAAAUAAUGUGUAAAAGUACUCACCUAGCAAAGAAAGAAACGAAUGAAAGGUUCGGAUAAUCACUUAGACGUCUCCAUGGAUGAUACCAGCUCGCUUCCAACAACAAAUAUAAUUAACCUAAGCUGUGAUAGGUCAAAGUUUUUUUUAGUUUUCUUUUUUUUAAAAAAAGAAAAAAACAGAUCAACAAGAGAGAAGACUUGCAAAAAAGUAGAAUUACUGAAAGAAACUCAACAAAGAAUCAAACUGAAGUAAUUAAAAAUAAUAGUCUAUGAUGACCAUCUCGGUAUCACACAUUCAGGUAAUAUGAUUAACCUAUAACAAUAUUAGAAAAAAAAAAGUUAAUAGAUGGUCGCCACGUGUUCAACUUUAUCUACCCUUAGGAAAGGAUAGAAAGCGGGAGAGAGAGAGGUUAAAAGGCUUUUAAAAAAAAGAAAAGGAAAGACAGAAAUAAAAGAAAGGUUGAGACAAGAGAGGGACAAGGAAAUAGAAGGAGAAGUUUGUAAUAUAACCAUUUUAAUUUAAUAUUUUAAGAGAUUUCAGAAUAUGAUUUAUAUUAUUUUCUAAUACACCCUCUCAAGUGUUCUUUGGACUUUAAACUUGAACAGACCCACAUUACCCUGUGUUUAAUUUUUAUCAAAUAAAUAGGGAUGGUGAGAUUCGAACUCGUGAUCGUUUGGUCAUUAAAGCUCUGAUACUAUGUCAAAAAAUUAUCUCCACCUAAUAGCUUAAACUGUUUGGUGAGGUCCCAUGAUAUGAUUUAUAUUAUUCUCUAAUAAGGUUGAGGGAGGCAAAAAUAGAAGAAGACAUUGAAAGAUCGGAGGAGAGUAAAGAAAACAAUAUAAAUAUGUGAUGCUCGUUUAUCUAUUUGAUUGGGAUUUUUUUGUGUCUCUUUUAUUUGGAAUUCUUUGGACAUUUUAAUAAUAUAAUAACAAAAAAAUAUUAAAAUUAUUUUUAUUUUUUCAUGCUCUUAUAAGUAAUGUAGAAGAUGAGGACCUGAAAUCACGACAGCAAAUAAGAAGAGAAAUAACGUGUUUGUUUUUUUUAAAAAAAGAUAUCUUUAAAAAAAUUAAAUUUUAUUUUUACUUGAAAUUAAUUUUUAAAAAGCUAGUUUGAAAAUUAAUAUGAAAAAAAAGGAUAAUAGAGUAGUUGUCCAAAUCAAAACACAUUAACAUAGGACAAAAACAGGGAGAGAGGCUAUUUGUUUUUUUAACUGUAUUGGUUUAAUAAGGUUUAUAUAGUAUUUUAUAAAUAUUUUGGAUAAAAAUUUUAAAGGGUUCUAAAUUAUCUCUGUUACCUUCCCUUAAUUUUCUAGGCAAGUAAAAGGAGCUAAACUUAUUCCCGACCAAAACGUCAAGAAUUUCAGUGGAACAAAAAAAGAGAUCAUUACUUGACCAAAAACAACUAGUCAGCACCCAAAGAAACCGAGUGAAUGAGAGAAAAUUAAGGACUCAUAGCUAGAAAACAAUCAACAGAUCCAAGAAUUUUCUGUAUGGUUUCCAAGAAAAUGAAACGAAAUGAGCAGCACAACCCUCUUUCUCCUCCAAGAAAAGAAAGAAAAAGAAAGGAAAGAAACAAAGAUAGAAAGUCAAACUUGGCUCCUCUUUUAGUGUUAAAAAAAAAAAACAAAGAAGUUCGAGGAAGUGGGCAGCCUUUUUUCUGCUGUUCAUGUGGUGUUCUGCUGUUCACGCAGACUAAGAACUCCUACCAUCGUAAAAUCAUAUAAUUAAAACACAACAAUAAAAAAGUAAUAAGCAGCUAAUUAUGUGCCAAAAUCAGAGAAACAAGGAUACAGAACGUGAGAGUGAGUCAUUGCAAGUAAAAGAGGCGCAGAGAGAAUGGGAAUAGGAAUUUCAUUACCUUAAACUUGAGAAAAUAUGUGCGAAAAGCACUGGUACUGAUUGCUCAAUGAAAUGGAGAAGGCCUUUAGCUCUGUAUGGAAUCCAGCUUCAAAAGCAACAACGCAAGGGAUAAGCAUUUUGAUGACAUACUUAAGAUACUAUGCGUAAUAAUAUAGAGACAGUGACAAAGAAAUAAAGAAAAAUAAUAUGUACUCACCUAGCAAAGAAAGAAACGAAUGAAAGGUUCAGGAUAAUCACUUGGACGCCUCCAUGGAUGAUACCAGCUCGCUUCCAACAACAAAUAUAAUUAACCUAAGCUAUGAUCGGUCAAAGUUUUUUUUAGUUUUCUUCUUUUUUAAAAAAAAAAAACAGAUCAUCAAGGGAAAAGACUUGCAAAGAAGUAGAAUCAAUGGAACGAACACAACAAAGGAUCAAACUCAAGCAAUUAAAAGUAAUUGUCUAUGAGUACCAUCUGUGUCACACACUCAAGUGAGGAGAGAAAAGAAGGAGACAGAAAGGAAAGGGACAAAGAAGGAAGAAAGUAAGGUCACGUAGGGGCCAGCCUUGUAGAAAGAAGAGAUUAUUACGUGGCAAGUGCCGAGUGCCAAGUGACA